rnacentral:rRNA from 1 species
UAUUAAGGCCCAUACCACCGUGAAUGCACCCAAUCACAUCUGAUCUUGGAAGCUAAGCAGAAUCAGGACUGGUCAGUACUUGGAUGAGAGACUGCUGGGGAUACUGAUGCUGUAGGCU